UACGUAGGGUGCGAGCGUUAAUCGGAAUUACUGGGCGUAAAGCGUGCGCAGGCGGUAAUGUAAGACAGAUGUGAAAUCCCCGGGCUCAACCUGGGACCUGCAUUUGUGACUGCAUUGCUGGAGUGCGGCAGAGGGGGAUGGAAUUCCGCGUGUAGCAGUGAAAUGCGUAGAUAUGCGGAGGAACACCGAUGGCGAAGGCAAUCCCCUGGGCCUGCACUGACGCUCAUGCACGAAAGCGUGGGGAGC
rnacentral:rRNA from 1 species